AAAGGGUCCGUAGGCGGCCUUAUAAGUCAGUGGUGAAAUCUCCCGGCUCAACCGGGAAAUUGCCAUUGAUACUGUAGGGCUUGAAUUACUAGGAAGUAACUAGAAUAUGUAGUGUAGCGGUGAAAUGCUUAGAGAUUACAUGGAAUACCAAUUGCGAAGGCAGGUUACUACUAGUGGAUUGACGCUGAUGGACGAAAGCGUGGGUAGCGAACAGGAUUAGAUACCCUUGU
rnacentral:rRNA from 1 species